UACGUAGGGGGCGAGCGUUAAUCGGAAUCACUGGGCGUAAAGCGCACGUAGGCGGAUCUUUAAGUCAGGGGUGAAAUCCUGGAGCUCAACUCCAGAACUGCCCUUGAUACUGGCGGUCUCGAGUCCGGGAGAGGUGAGUGGAACUGCGAGUGUAGAGGUGAAAUUCGUAGAUAUUCGGAAGAACACCAGUGGCGAAGGCGGCUCACUGGCCCGGUACUGACGCUGAGGUGCGAAAGCGUGGGGAGCAAACAGG
rnacentral:rRNA from 1 species